rnacentral:rRNA from 1 species
UACGUAGGGGGCAAGCGUUGUCCGGAAUCAUUGGGCGUAAAGAGCGUGUAGGCGGCCCGAUAAGUCCGCUGUGAAAGUCCAGGGCUCAACCCUGGAAUGCCAGUGGAAACUGUCGGGCUAGAGUCCGGAAGAGGCGAGUGGAAUUCCUGGUGUAGCGGUGAAAUGCGCAGAUAUCAGGAGGAACACCGAUGGCGAAGGCAGCUCGCUGGGACGGUACUGACGCUGAGACGCGAAAGCGUGGGGAGCAAACAGG